UGCAACAUGAAUUGGUCCCAAACCUCAUCUGAACAUACAGUACACAACUGACUCUUAAAAGGAUUAAAACAAAAAUCAAAGACUCAAAUACUGAGAGAAUAUAAUCAUGUCAGUAAAAACCUAAAAGAAGAUAUAACUCAGGAUUGUGAGGUGGUCCGGGUUCAGCUGCAGGUUGGCGAUCCGAAGGCUCAGGUGGAGGGCGUGCAGGAGAUGAGGAAAAACGCCACUGUCCACUCCGACAUCCCCAAAAACCACCGUGCUGACGAGGAGCGGCCUCGGAACGACAGCUCAAGAGGAUGAGAGGGAAGCUGAAAGCCAUCACGGACAACCCCUCUCACCCCUCUAUGCUGAGCUGAGGCAGUUCAGGAGCACUUUCAGCCACAGACUCCUCCAGCCCCGAGCCUCAAAGCGCCUGGGAGGCUCAUUUGUGCCAUCUGCCAUCAGACUCAAAACGCCACAGCGUCUCUCAUCUCCACCGACAAACUCCAUUUUGAUCCUACUCUGACUGUAUUUGAGAGUACACACUUGUUAUUAUUUUUGUAUUUGACAGUAUAUAGUGUGUAUAUAGUUGUAAAUCUACGUAGAAUGUUAACUAAUUCUACUAAUUGUUCUUCUUUUUACAUUCAUCUGUACUGUGUAUGUACAUGUGUGUGUACUGUUUCAUUCAAUGUUAUGGUUUUAAAUGUCCCAUACAAAAAGCCGUAAUAACCAUUGUUCUUUUUAUAAAAGGGCCAUCAAUCAAAGCUUUCUAGUCUGUGAAAAUAAUCCUAGUGAUGUCAUAAGGGUUACUGUAUCUGUGUUUAUGCUCGGAGCCUACCUACAUAAAGCCCGUGUUCCAAACUGGGAGGAAAGACUUUAAAACAUGU